GGCUUUAUGGUCGAGUGGUAAAAAUACUUGCCUCUCCUACUGGAGUCCUAGGUUCAAUCCCUGGUCGAGAAGCUA